rnacentral:sRNA from 1 species
GCCAGGCAUGGUAGCACAUGCCUGCAAUCCCAGCUACUUGGGAGGCUGAGGCAGGAGGAUCACUAAUUCAAGGCCAGCCUUGGCAACUUAGCAAGACCCUGUCUCAA